rnacentral:lncRNA from 1 species
UAAAAAUAUUUCUAAAUUCUACGAGUCCGGUUACUGUAUUCUUGUCAGUACGAUCGCCUUCGUACUCACAAGUCGUUUUCGAUGAUACAACUUUCGAAUCGAUAAUCCACGCUAUUAAACAUUAUCUACAGCAUUUAAAAUUUUUAGAAAUUAAAUUUUAUAAUUUUUCGACAUCAAUUACUUUACGAUCAAAAAAUCUUAAAAUUGACAAUUUUUAACGGCCAGUAUGAAAUACUUGCUGGUUUAAUGAUGUCAAAAAAUCGAAAUUGGUUAAGUUUUUUAUAGAAAAUUCUAUUUACUAUCUAGAUAAAGAUCAAUAACUCCGAUUUUGAAUUGAAGUAUCCGAUCAUCUAUGUUUAGAAAGUCGUUCAAUUUUGACCGUUUAUUUAAUAUAUACCUACUUCAUCGAUUUUAUCAUAACUUUGAAAAAACUUACGAAAUUUAUUUUCAACUCUCUCUCUCUCUCUCUCUCUCUCUCUCUCUCUCUCUCUCUCUCUCUCUCUCUCUCUCUCUCUCUCUCUCUCUCUCUCUCUCUCUCUCUCUCUAUAUAUAUAUAUAUAUAUAUAUAUAUAGAGUGAGGCUGGUAUGCUUUUGGAGGUACGGAGCCUCCCAUAUUUUCAAGUCGUUUUCGAUGUUAAAACUUUCAAAUCAAUGAUCGGCUCCAUUAAAUUUGAUCUAGAGUAUUUGAAGUACCUAGAAAAUAAAUUUUGCGAUUUUUCUAUAUUAUUUGUCUAGUGAUUGAAGAGGUUCAAAAUUAAUAAUUUUAAAGACCGUGGUGAACUGUUUGCAAGUUUAACGGUAUAGAAAUAUUCAAAUUACAUGAAAUUUUGAUAAAAUAUUCUUACUAUAUAAAACAAGAUCAAUAUUUUUGAUCCAAUGGUUGAAAACUUAUGAGUACAAAGAGUCAUAUACUUAUAAGAGUAUACUAGUCCUAACCCAAUUUUAAGAUCUUUUAAUUGUAAAGUAAAUAAUACAAAAAAAUUAUGAAAUUUGAUUUCUAAAAAUUUUAAAUGCUCUAGAUAAUGUUUAACGAUAUAGGUUAUCAAUUUGGAAGCUCUAUCACUAAAACAAAUUAUGAGUACGAAUGCUAUUGUACUCAUAAGAGUAUAGUAGUCGGACUCUACAUAUAUAUAGAGCCCGACUACUAUACUAUCGAUAGUAUCAUACUCUUGGUACUAUCGAAUUUUCUACCAUUAGAUUUACCCUUUGACCAUUUCCAUCCGUUAGAUUAUACUAUUCAGCCAACCACCCACUCAACCCUAGGAGACCACUAUCAUCUUAACCGUACAUCCGUUUAUCCAAUGGCCGAAAACUCGAUAGCACCAAACACUUAAUACUAUUGAUAGUAUAGUAGCAUAAUUCCAUAUAUAGAUAUUAGAACUCAGCGAGUCACCUUAGAAACUCAACAUAGUCAAUUCAACUCGCUCACGAUUAGGGAUGUCAACUGAUCGGAUUCGGGGCGAAUUUUUAAAAACUCGAACUCGAACCUGAUCCCGACUCCAAACCCGAAAUCCAAACCUAAACCAGAAAAUUUAAACUCGAAACAAUUAUUUCUCAUUUCAAUAUUUUAAAAUAUAUUAUGUUAAAUUUAAAAUUUUAAAAUAUAAAUUCAAAUAUAACAUCAAAUUUUAUAUACAUAUAAUAUAUAAUGUAAAAUAAAUUCGAGUUCGGGUCGAUUUUGAGUUUGGAUCGGGUACAGUCAAAAUCUAUACCCGUCGGAUUUUUGUUUUUGAUAUUCAUAACCAAAAUCAUAUCUGUUUAGCAUUGAAUAAAUUCGCUCCGUUCAAAUUUGAGUUCGAAUAAAAUUUUGGGCUCGUACGAAUUGACAUCCCUGGUCCCGAUCAAGCUUUAGCUUGAUCAAACUCAGCAAACUCGGUCAAGUUACUUUAAUAGGUGGGAUCAAAUUUUAGUUGGCAGAACUCGUCAGUCAAGUUAAAUCACAUCAGUCCAAUUCCAAUAAAAAAAAAAAAAAAGAAAGAAAAACUUCAAAUACUUCUCGUGGUUUCGCAUUUUUCACUUUUGUACUCUGUGGUUUAAAGUAUAUCAAGUUAGUACCCUGUGAUUUCGCACCUUCUCACUUUAGUAUCCUGUGGUUUCAAGUGUAUCAAGUUAGUAUUAUGUGGUUUCGCACUUUCUCACUUUAGUAUCCUGUGCUUUAAUAUUUCGUUAAAUUAUAUACCCCGAAAUGGAUAAUAAAAAAAGAAAAUUGAAACCACAAGGUACUAACUUGAUACAAAAAUAAAAUCACAGAGUACUAACUUGACACACUUGAAAACACUUGAAACCACAUGGUGCUAAAGUGAGAAAGUACGAAACCAUAUAAUACUAACUUAAUACACUUGAAACCGCAGGGUAUUAAAGUGAGAAAGUACAAAACUAUAGGAGAGAUAUUUGAAGUUUUUCUCAAAAAAAAAAAAAAAAAAAA